UUUAUUUAAAUUGAUUUUGUCGCAGAAAUAAUGGAUUAAUGUAGCGUCAGUCAAAAUGAGAAAAACAAAGAGACAAAUACAUACCCAGAUCCUUAAAAAUAAAAAGACAAAUAGGACGAAAUAUGUGCUCAGAAAAGAUGAGCAAUUCCAAUUAUGAAUACGGUAUCAUGUUCGGGAAUGUGAAUCCACGAAAUACGGAGACAGUACACAGCACUUCCAAUAGCGACCGAACAGACAUAGUC
rnacentral:lncRNA from 1 species